rnacentral:lncRNA from 7 species
GCCUUUCUGCUUCCGGUGGCGGGCACCGCGAGGGGCGGCGUGGCAGGGGUCUGGGCCUGGGGUGGUCAUAGGCCGAGCUGGAGGUCAUAUUGCGGGCUGGAGAAAUACAGCCCCAACUCAUGGCUGAAGAUCACUAGGUCUUCUUGGGAAGCCAGCAUUCAUCAGGUGUUCCUGCUGACCAUGGAGUGGCUGCUGGAUCUGCACAUUCACCAAGGUGGCUGAACUGAAGAUCUGUCUGCAUUAUGGCGAGAGUGCUGCUCCUGCAGUUCUGUUUGUUUAUACCUGUGUGGUCUCUUCAGGCUAUAGAAGGUAUUUUUGCCAAAGUAGAUGGUAAAUGUGAAUAAAUUGUAGUUCU